rfam:Alligator mississippiensis ScZkoYb_1901.2, whole genome shotgun sequence.
GGUCCUCAAUGAUGUUAGCACUGGGCACUGAGCUGCUGUGAUGAUGGUAGUGCCUCCCAGGGACUUGACAUCUUGGGGGACUGAGGGGACC